GACUAUAUAUUACAUGGACUGCCAACUCUACGCACUAAGCCUAUAUUUUUCAAUAAACAAGUCCCGUUCACGGAGGCGUCCUUGGUUGCGUGGUAAAUUGACUUCCGGUAGAUUUUUUUUUACGUAUAAAGAAACCAUUCUCGAAGAUUUUUACCACCACUUUUACAGCAAAUCAUGAAUGGAAACUGAAUUGUUAAAGAAGAUGUUACAGAGGAGCAUACUACUUCCACAAACCUGAUUUGAUUGUCACUAACUUUCAAAUUGAAAGGGAUCUACUACAACUGCUCAUGAAUUUCGAGAUUUUACAGCUAAUAGAGGAACAAAUUUUAUCUGCUUCCACUUAGCCAAACAGCAUGGAAAUAUGCUAUUGUAAUGAGUAGAAGAUAUUUGUCAUUUAGAGUAUCAUGCAACAGCUAAUUAUCAGUCCACACAUUUCAAGAUGAGGAAAAGAACAGUAUAAGCUACAUUCAUUGAUGCAUUAUUUAUACAAAAAUGUAUAGUCAACCCAGUCAUCACUCCAUUUUUUUAUGAAGCCAGUUACAGUUACCAUGAAGGGAUGAAAUUUCAGAUAAUAUUUUGUUUAUUUCAUGAAAUGAGAAUAGGCCUACAUCAGAAAUUGAGAUGGUCAUCUUCAGUAUUUAAUGUUUCAUCUAAAAAUGAUAAUUAUAUUAAUACAUAUUUGAUGUACAAACAAAUGAAAACCAUUCAAACACUUUUUUUUGUGAAGUAUAGAGGAUU